rfam:Felis catus isolate Cinnamon breed Abyssinian chromosome A3, whole genome shotgun sequence.
GCCUGGGUGGCUCAGUCGGUUGGGCAUCUGACUUCGGCUCAGGUCACCAUCUCACGGUUCGUGAGUUCGAACCGCACGUCGGGCU